GGGGAAUAUUGCACAAUGGGGGAAACCCUGAUGCAGCGACGCCGCGUGGAGGAAGAAGGUCUUCGGAUUGUAAACUCCUGUUGUUGAGGAAGAUAAUGACGGUACUCAACAAGGAAGUGACGGCUAACUACGUGCCAGCAGCCGCGGUAAAACGUAGGUCACAAGCGUUGUCCGGAAUUACUGGGUGUAAAGGGAGCGCAGGCGGGAAGACAAGUUGGAAGUGAAAUCCAUGGGCUCAACCCAUGAACUGCUUUCAAAACUGUUUUUCUUGAGUAGUGCAGAGGUAGGCGGAAUUCCCGGUGUAGCGGUGGAAUGCGUAGAUAUCGGGAGGAACACCAGUGGCGAAGGCGGCCUACUGGGCACCAACUGACGCUGAGGCUCGAAAGUGUGGGUAGCAAACAGGAUUAGAUACCCUGGUAGUCCACACUGUAAACGAUGAUUACUAGGUGUUGGAGGAUUGACCCCUUCAGUGCCGCAGUUAACACAAUAAGUAAUCCACCUGGGGAGUACGACCGCAAGGUUGAAACUCAAAGGAAUUGACGGGGGCCCGCACAAGCAGUGGAGUAUGUGGUUUAAUUCGACGCAACGCGAAGAACCUUACCAAGUCUUGACAUCCUGCGACGCACAUAGAAAUAUGUGUUUCCUUCGGGACGCAGAGACAGGUGGUGCAUGGUUGUCGUCAGCUCGUGUCGUGAGAUGUUGGGUUAAGUCCCGCAACGAGCGCAACCCUUAUGGUCAGUUACUACGCAAGAGGACUCUGGCCAGACUGCCGUUGACAAAACGGAGGAAGGUGGGG
rnacentral:rRNA from 1 species